GAAGCUGUGCUAUUCCCAAACUGGGAAACUGGAAUCACCUGAUUUGAAGGUGGGAUAACUUCUCCAUGCCAACUCCUAUGAGAUUUAUUCAACUUCCAGGUGAUUCUCCACCACUUUAUGUAUCCAAAUCAAGCUUUUCACAAAGUGAUUCAUCCUUGUUUGAUUGGAACGACGAAGAAGCUGUGCUAUUCCCAAACUUGGAAACUGGAAUCACCUGAUUUGAAAGUGGGAUAACUUCUUCAACUCCUAUGAGAUUUAUUCAACUUCCUGGUGAUUCUCCACCAUUUUAUGUAUCCAAAUCAAGCUUUUCACAAAGUGAUUCAUCCUGGUUUGAUUGGAACGACGAAGAAGUUGUGCUAUUCCCAAACUGGAAAACUGGAAUCACCUGAUUUGAAAGUGGGAUAACUUCUUCAUGCCAACUCCUAUGAGAUUUAUUAAACUUCCUGGUGAUUCUCCACCACUUUUUGUACCCAAAUCAAGCUUUCCACAAAGUGAUUCAUCCUGGUUUGAUUGGAACGAUGAAGAAGCUGUGCUAUUCCCAAACUGGGAAACUGGAAUCACAUGAUUUUAAAGUGGGAUAACUUCUUCAUGCCAACUCCUAUGAGAUUUAUUAAACUUCCUGGUGAUUCUCCACCACUUUUUGUACCCAAAUCAAGCUUUCCACAAAGUGAUUCAUCCUGGUUUGAUUGGAACGAUGAAGAAGCUGUGCUAUUCCCAAACUGGGAAACUGGAAUCACGUUUUUUGAAAGUGGGAUAACUUCUUCAUCCCAACUCCUAUGGGUUUAUUAAACUUCCUGGUGAUUCUCCACCACUUUAUGUAUCCAAAUCAAGCUUUUCACAAAGUGAUUCAUCCUGGUUUGAUUGGAACGAUGAAGAAGCUGUGCUAUUCCCAAACUUGAAAGCUGGAAUCACCUGAUUUGAAAGUGGGAUAACUUCUUCGUGCCAACUCUUAUGAGAUUUAUUCAACUUCUUGGUGAUUCUCCACCACUUUAUGUAUCUAAAUCAAGCUUCUUACAAAGAGAUUCAUCAUGGUUUGAUUGGAACGACGAAGAAGCUGUGCAAUUCUCAAACUGGGAAACUGGAAUCACCUAAUUUGAAAGUGGGAUAACUUCUUCAUGCCAACUCCUAUGAGAUUUAUUCAACUUCCUGGUGAUUCUCCACCACUUUAUGUAUCCAAAUCAAGCUUUUCACAAAGUGAUUCAUCCUGGUUUGAUUGGAACGACGAAGAAGCUGUGCUAUUCCCAAACUGGGAAACUGGAAUCACCUGAUUUGAAAGUGGGAUAACUUCUUCUUGCCAACUCCUAUGAGAUUUAUUCAACUUCCUGGUGAUUUUCCACCACUUUAUGUAUCCAAAUCAAGCUUCUUACAAAGAUAUUCAUCCUGUUUUGAUUGGAACGACGAAUAAGCUGUGCUAUUCCCAAAUUGGGAAACUGGAAUCACCUGAUUUGAAAGUGGGAUAACUUCUUCAUGCCAACUCCUAUGAAAUUUAUUCAACUUCCAGGUGAUUCUCCACCACUUUAUGUAUCCAAAUCAAGCUUUUCACAAAGUGAUUCAUCCUGGUUUGAUUGGAACGACGAAGAAGCUGUGCUAUUCCCAAACUGGGAAACUGGAAUCACCUGAUUUGAAAGUGGGAUAACUUCUUCUUGCCAACUCCUAUGAGAUUUAUUCAACUUCCUGGUGAUUCUCCACCACUUUAUGUAUCCAAAUCAAGCUUCUUACAAAGUGAUUCAUCCUGGUUUGAUUGGAACGACGAAGAAGCUGUGCUAUUCCCAAACUGUGAAACUGGAAUCACCUGAUUUGAAAGCGGGAUAACUUCUUCUUGCCAACUCCUAUGAGAUUUAUUCAACUUCCUGGUGAUUCUCCACCACUUUAUGUAUCCAAAUCAAGCAUCUCACAAAGAGAUUCAUCCUGGUUUGAUUGGAACGACGAAGAAGCUGUGCUAUUCCCAAACUGUGAAACUGGAAUCACCUGAUUUGAAAGUGGGAUAACUUCUUCAUCCCAACUCCUAUGAGAUUUAUUCAAUUUCCUGGUGAUUCUCCACCAGUUAAUGUAUCCAAAUAAAGCUUCUUACAAAGUGAUUCAUCCUGGUUUGAUUGGAACGACGAAGA
rnacentral:lncRNA from 1 species